GGAGGAGGCUGCAUUAAGUCCAUGGUGGUAAAGGGCAGAGUAAACGCUAUGGAAUCAGUUCCAAUCCUUUUGAGAUGGGUUAGAAGGUAAGAACCUACCAUCACCCCUCAUGACUGAGAACAUGAAGGGGUUCAUCAAAGAACUGUUUAAAUUAGAUGCUGCAAGAUGUGGGGAGCACUAUUGUAUUGCAACGGAGGCGAGGGAAACCUUCCAGAAAUAUUGAAUGCAGUUUAAGUGGUGUGCUGAGGGACAUGAAUCUGACUACAUGAGUGUCAUCUUACUCCAGAGACUAUACUUGCUGAAGAUCUGGCCACAGAGAAAAUCAAAACCAAGAACAGAGAGAUAAAGGAAUUCCUUUACAGCAUAAAGAGAACAGGUGCCUGAGGACAUUUCUGAUAUGUAUCUGAUCAUCGUGAGCAGUAUGUGCUGCUUAAACAAAAGGUUUCCUCCCCUCAUAUAAAACACAAAAAGAGAACUCAGACACCACCCGGGGUGUGCGGCUGGAGCAGAAGCUCCUUUGUGAGGCUGUGUUAUAGGUGUGUUCAUCGCAUUGACCGAGUCUUUGUCUUGUGUGUCACUAUGUCAUUUUUAUUGCCUGUGAGUGUGUCAUUAAAGCCUGUGUGCCAGAUAUAAGUUACAUUCUGUCAGUCUAUUAAGCUGUUUGAACGGCUGACCCUUCUGAUUUGUGUGAAGUCAUCUGAGAUGAACUGCGUAUGGCUUCAUUCUUAGGAGACGGAGCAGAACGGGGGUGAAGCGGAGGCAUUAAGUGUGGCAGACGCCCCUUUGUGUGUCGGUCACAAUGCUGAAGUGAAAGAAGGCAGGAUGCUUAACAUGCAAAUGAGACGAGAGAGAAGGGGAGGUCAGGGAAAUCACUCAAUGUCACAUUAACAAGUGCUCGUUCCAUGAUGGGGUAUUAAAUGCUGAGUGUGAGAGUACUGCAGCUGCAUCUCGUUCUGUGGCAUUUACCUCUGCCAAUUCAGAAUGAUCCCAAAGAGAUCAGUUCAGAUGAAGAAAAAAAAAAUAUGUAUAUCACUGAUUGAUUAUUUUAUCCCAUUGACACAUGGCAUGUGAUCAUCCAUCAACUGUUUGACCUUGUGAAUGCAAAUGAACUAUAAGGAGUGGCAGAAAUUACCUCACUAUCUCACCAGUCGAUUUUGUAGGUGCUUAGAAUGGCAUACUGUACUGC
ensembl:lncRNA